UNAUAAUUAGUUUAAAUUAAAACAAAUGAUUUCGA
rnacentral:tRNA from 1 species